AUGUGACUUAGUUAGGGGGCAAAAAUUAAUAUAGAAAUCUAAUGUUUAUUAGAUUUUAUUCAUAGAUAGGUAUAUUGAAGGAGCAAUCUUUUUCUCUCAUAUCAGUUGUUCUUCAAGCAGCCUCUCACAUUU